AUGAUGGUGGAAGGAUCGGAUAAGGAUAUCCAGAACCUCAAGUUCCUCCUCCUCUGCUUUCAGAAAAUGUCCGGCCUCACAAUUAACUUUGCCAAGAGCGCGGUAAUUGUCCUGGGAUAUUCUCAGACGGAAGCCCAGCGAAUUGCUAAUCGCUUGAAUUGCCGCUUGGGAUCCUUCCCGACAACUUACCUUGGCAUGCCACUUAGUGACACACGCCUCCUGGAGAAGGACUUUCGUCCAAUAAUCGCCAAGCUCCAACCUAGAAUGGAGCCAUGGCAAGGGAUAUGGCUUUCCAAAGCCGCACGAGUGAUUCUGAUGAACUCCUCCCUUAUUAGCCUAUUGAUGUAUAUCAUGGGAUUCUAUAGUUUACAUGAAUCCCUCCAUCAUGAGGUCACUAAACUCCUCUCCCGAUUCUUCUGGGCAGGAGAGAACAAUAAACAGAAGUACCAUAUGGUCGAAUGGUCCGAGAUCUGUAAGCCUAAGGACCAAGGAGGCCUUGGGGUCAUCUCCUCCAAGCAGAUGAAUAUUCCCUCCUAUCCAAAUGGCUUUGGCGGAUCCAGACUGAUGAGGGUGGCCUGUGGCUUGAGAUUAUCCAUGUGA
rnacentral:rRNA from 1 species